GAUGAAGAACGUAGCGAAAUGCGAUACGUAAUGUGAAUUGCAGAAUUCAGUGAAUCAUCGAGUCUUUGAACGCACAUUGCGCCCCCUGGUAUUCCGGAGGGCAUGCCUGUCCGAGCGUCAUUGCUGCCCUCAAGCCUCGCUUGGUAUUGGGCAACGCGGUCCGCCGCGUGCCUCAAAUCGACCGGCUGGGUCUUCUGUCCCCUAAGCGUUGUGGAAACUAUUCGCUAAAGGGUGUUCGGGAGGCUACGCCGUAAAACAACCCCAUUUCUAAGGUUGACCUCGGAUCAGGUAGGGAUACCCGCUGAACUUAAGCAUAUCAAUAAGCGGAGGA
rnacentral:misc_RNA from 1 species